rnacentral:rRNA from 1 species
UACAGAGGUCUCAAGCGUUGUUCGGAUUCAUUGGGCGUAAAGGGUGUGUAGGCGGCGCGCUAAGUCGGGUGUGAAAUUUCGGAGCUUAACUCCGAAACUGCAUUCGAUACUGGCGUGCUUGAGGACUGGAGAGGAGACUGGAAUUCAUGGUGUAGCAGUGAAAUGCGUAGAGAUCAUGAGGAAGACCAGUGGCGAAGGCGGGUCUCUGGACAGUUCCUGACACUGAGACACGAAGGCCAGGGGAGCAAACGGG